rnacentral:lncRNA from 1 species
CCCCACAAAAAGCCGUCGGCAAAGAAUUUUUCUAUUUUUUUUCCAGUUUUUACUUUAAUUAUUCACUAAACAAUGGGGUUUUCCUGUCACUUUAGACUUUUUUUUUGUACUAUUAGGACAUUUGAACAUGAAAAACAAAAAAUCUACCCAAUUUUUUAAAGAAUUCUGCUCCGUCCGUCCGAAUUGCGACUUUUCCCCCCUAAGUCCGGAACUUCCGUGCGGGUUAGUCUAGUUUGUGAAGGAAGUGCAACCUCAGAUACUUGGAUUGUGUUUUACUCUUAACACCAUCUUUAUGAACCCAUUUGAUGACGUCAACCAAGAUUUCAAGUUCUCUGGAUCAUUCGUCCUGUGAUUUCAGGAAUCGCCCUCUCCUGCGGGCCUCGUGGCAUCUCCGGGCUAGCUUUUCACCAAAACUUGUGUUCUCAAGUUACUUUACUCUAUACCUUUGUGUCGUACUAGCACAUGGGGACAUGAAAAACCAAAAAUCUACCCAAGUCCUCAAAGGAUUCUACUCCGUCCAUCCGAAUUGCGACUUUUCCCCCAUAAGUUCGGAACGUUAGUGUGGGUUAGUCUAGUUUGUGAAGGAAGUGCAACCUCAGAUACUUGGAUUGUGUUUUCCUCUUAACACCAUAUCUAUGUACCCAUUUUAUGACAUCAUCUAAGAUUUCAAGUUCUCUAGACCAUCCGUCGUGUGAUUUGAGGCAUCGCCCCCUCCUGCGGGCCUCGUGGCAUCUACGGGGUAGCUUUUCACCAAAACAUUGGUUUUCCUGAUGUUUUUCUAUUACUUAGUGUUCUAUUGCCACAUGGGCACAUUUAAAACAAAAAAUCUACCCCAAGCCCUCAAAGAAUUCUUCUCCCUCGGUCCGAAAUGCGUG